CACGGCUGUGCUCCUCUGGCAGCCCCUCUGCUGCGGAGCACAGUGAGAUCUUAAUGGAAAAAGGCUCCCCUUGUAACCUAAAUGUUUGCAUGAUGCAGCUGCAAAAGCCGUCCGUAGUUACUGAGACAAAUUAAUGAGGUGAAGCAUCAGGGUCUUGGUGAAUCGCAGGCUGGCCGUAAGCCGGCGGUGCUCUGUGGGCAGGAAAGGCAGUGGUGUCCUGGGGAUGCCAUCGGGAGCAGCGUGGCCAGCAGGCCGAGGGCUGAUCCUGCCCCUCCACUGGGCCCUGCUGAGGCCGUGUGCAGGGCUGGGCGCCUCACUACAAGAAAGACAAGCUACUGGAGAGGGUUCAGUGGAGGCCACAAGGAUGAUGAGAGGUCUGGAGCAUCUCUUGAGGAGAGACUGCAGGAGCUGGGCCUGUUUAGUCUGCAGAGGGAAAUCUGGGAGGGGGUCUCAGUGCAUCAUCUCAAAGGUGUCAGAGGAUGGUGUUGGACCUUUUUUGGUGGUGCCCAGCAACAAGACAAGAAGUAAUGGCCAUCAACUAAAACAAGAAGUUCCACCUUGACACGAAGAACUGUUGUUUACCCUGAGAGUGGCAGAGCAGUGGGUCAGGCUACCGAGGGAGGUCAUGAAGUUUGUCUUGAGACAAAAACCCACCUGGAUACAUUCCUGUGUCACCUCCAGGUGACCCUUGCCUCAGCACGGAGGUUGGACCAGAUGAUCUCCAGAGGUCCCUUCCAACCCUAACAAUUCUGUGAUUUGCUUUUUUGAUUUAAAAGCAGUCAAGUAAUUCCACAGUCUUAGGUGAGCUGUAAUUAAACAGGUGUGGGAUGAUAGAUCUUGAUGUGUGGAAAGGGCUAAUAAUCUGAAAGGGUGGUGCUUCAUACUGGAGUGGGGAAACUGGAGUAGUGUGGUAAGCAACCAGCAUAAUUCUGAAUAUGUGUAUGCAUAUACUUGUAGGCUUCACUGAAGCCUUGCCAUAAUAGAAGAUCAGGAUAAAUGUUUACUGGGCAGGAGCGUAAUUGUCUGAGGAAAAACAUGAUUGAACAGUAAAACAGGAAGCUAAUAAAGGGUAGUGUGUAUUAAAAAAAAAAAAAAUCUGGGGACAUACAUGAUCAUAAUGAUACUUUUUUUUUUUUGCUAGACUGAGUUCAGCUCAGUUUGUUAGAGCAUGAUGCUAAUAAUGCCAAGAUUUUAAUGUGGGUUUGAUCCCCAUAUAGUUCAAUCAUUUAAGACCUAUCCUUGCAGGUCCCUUCCAACUCAGUAUAUUCUGUCGUUCUGUGAGCCUGUCUAGCAAGGUUUAGAAAGAGAAACAGUAUUUCUCUUUCAAAGUAUUGAGAAAUACAUUGCCAAGGGCACGAAAGGUGUGUUUGCAAGCUUGUGAGGGAAAAUACAUAUUUCUGAGGUCUCUGGGGCUUAGCAGGCAACCAAUAAAAAUACCUUUUGUUUCAAAACUGGCCUUCCAUUUGAAUUUAACUUUCUAAUAUAAGCAGUUUUAAUUCAUGCAUGUUCUUCUGAUAAAGUCUUUAUCUCAAAAACUUUACCAGGUCCUAAAGAAUAAUGUUUUGCACCAUUUCUUGAGUGAUGCUCUGAGCCUCUUCUGCUCUCAUUGUUUCAGAGUAUUCUUGCAGUGGAGGUGAUUUUCAGAUUUUAUGCAGUAAUAUAAGUUUUGCCUCUAGAUUUAAGUUCUGGUUUUUUUCCUACCUCUGUGGACCACGUGUAACACUAACUCAGUGGUAAACUACUUCUGCAUACAGUAGACAAGUUAACACAUUUCUUUGGUAUUACUACACACCUAGGUACCUACAAGCCUGAAAUCACACCCCUCCCUCAAAAGCUCUGUUGGUUUCUACAACUUGAAAAUUCUCUUUUUUUUUUCAUCACUACAGAAGAACUCUUAAAAUUCAGGUAAUAGUCUCCCCCUUGUUGCAUAUUCUCCAGGAGCUCUGAGAAUAUAUGAUGUACUGUUCCACACUCAGUAGAGGUUGUCAUUUUUCCUGCUGCCCCUAAAUUUGGAACAGCAGCUUGUCUGUUGCCUUUUAGCAAACUUCACAAUGCUAUCAACUGUUCCUAUUAGCCGGACAAAAUUCCCUGUCUUUUGUAAACAUACUCAAUUCUUACUCUCAUUGUUUGUAUGCUAAUACCUAGGGGAUGAUUUUCCAAGUCAUUCUUCAGAAUUUCCUUUCUAAUUAGUAGCAGAUGAAAAAUGCUCUAUAUGCACUGAAUGUUGUAGCUAAUGAUGACUAAUUAAGGUGCUGCUAAAACAAAAAUCUUAGUUCCUUAUUAUGUUUCACUGAGUAACAUAACUAGAGAUUUCAAAGUCUCACAGGUAUUUCUUACAUGUUGCUUUUGGAAACAGUCUUUCUGUGAUUUUUAUUUUAUUUUCUAAAUGGCCCCUUCUUUUAAGUUUUAUUUUACUCUGCUCCUGGUGAUCUGGUUUAUAUACAUCUGCUAUGAUCAGAUCUCUUUUUUAAAACCUGUGUUUAAGUAACUAUGAAUUUAAACUGGAUGCACUUCAAUAGUACCCAAACUACAUUGAGUUUUACCUGAGGAGGACCACCUCAACUCCAGGUGAAUCCAGACUUUUAACAUGAUAGCUCUGUUCCUUCAUAUUCCCUCUGAUUUAGUUGGAAGAACAAAGGAUCCUGCACAAAGCUGGGACCUAUGAGGGAAAAUUACUCAUGUGGAUGUUGACACAUAGGAAAGUCUCUGAGAACAAAACAAAAAGGUUGCAAUGAAAAUACUUGCCAAGGCAUUAAAUGUAGAGAUUGAGAAACAAGUAAUUGCUGAAAACACUUUAAAAGAAAAAGACUUGCUCUUAUUACCUUGCUGAAUUAAACACUUGUGUUGAGUCUGGCUGAGGUGGGAUAGUUUUCCCACAGCAUUUCUCACAGUGCUGUGCUUUGCAUUGGUAGCUGGAAGGGUGUCAGUAACACUGCAGUGUUUUGGCUGCUGCUGAGUAGCCCUCCACAUCAUCAAGGCUGUUUCUCCAACAUUUCCCCUGCCAGGAGGCUGAGGUGGGCAAGAUCUUGGGAGGGGACACAGCCAGGGCAGCUGACCCACUGACCAGAGGAUAUUCUGUAACAUAAGGUAUCUGCUCAGAUACAGCAUCUAAGAAGGCUGGAGAAGGAAGGGUGUGGGGAGGAGAGAGACAGGUAUUUGUUAAUAACAAAUUUAUUAUUUGUUUGUCUUCUAAAGCAACUGGUACACACAUUGAAGUCCUGUUUCCUGAGAAACAGCUGGACAUCACCUGCUAAUGGGAAGUAGAGAAUAGAUCUUGUGUUUUCAUUUGCUUUUAUGCAGUCUUUUUUUUUAUCAAACUGCCUUUAUCUUGAUCCAUGAGGAUUUUGUCCAGCUUAUUUUCUCCCACACUCUUCUGCUGAGAAGGGGAAUGAUAGAGUGGCUUAGUCAGUGCCUGGUGUCCAGCCAGGGUCAACCCACCACAAUUCUGCUGUGCAACACCUGUGCAAUCAAGCAUAAGGAUACAAAAUAACAUAGCAGCUGAGACCUUUUAGAGGGUGGUAACUGUGCUGGGAGAAGGGGACAAACUGCAGUGAAGAUAUUUUUCCCCUAAUAUUUAGAGCUCUGAAAGAAUGUGAAGACAGUGGUAGCUACCCCUGGUACUUCAUUUAAUGCCAGAGGGUCAAUAGUCUACUGCUUUCCUGCCAUCAAAGCAGGAAGCAUUAACUUCAUUUCUAUUCUGGACAUAAGCCUGAGGGGACCAAAUACAUUUGGCAGCUUUGCUUAGUUCUCACAAAGACUGAAGAUAGUUUCACAUGUGCAUUACAUUGCUGUACUUGUCACAGCUUUCUUCAAAACUUCUCUGGUUAGGUCUCACCACAUUUCUAUCAGCUGAGGCAUACAUGCCAUGUGAUGUCUUUUGGGUUAUGUGUUAUGCUCCCAAUCUAGGAGAGCCAUUUUCCAGUGAAAUAGGAAACAUGAGGUGCCAGAACUGUGUCAGCAGAUUCACACAUGAAGCACCUAGCUAAUAUUUAGCACCAUCUUAAUUUUCACAGGCGAGGCUUUGAGUCAGUUUGUGAAGCUCUAUGCAGUAACAGAUCUCUGUUGCCACAUCUCAAGCCAAGAGGAUGGUCAUCAGCAGCAGAGGAGCUGAAAGACCUGAGGCCAGGUUUGUCCCUGGCUCUCUAACAUUGUAUGCUGUAUUUCUUUAACAAGAGUUUAUCUGCAGAUGAGGAACAUUCCUGACACAGAAGAAGCCAGCUGAGAAGAACAUACUGUUAGUUAAUCCUGUGGAAAAGCACUGGAAGCUGGAAAUACAAAGAAAAUCUGAGAGAACCAAGAGAAACGUGAAGAUGGGCUGUGGGAGAGAACCACUAGAGACAUACAGAGAAGGUGAUACAGAGGAAAAGUAUGGUUUUACUGUCUCCAAAACACAGAACCCAUUCUGCAUGAGUUGGGUUUCAUUUCUGUGCACAGAGGUCCAAAACAAUUUUGUGUCAGUGUUUAAGUUAGUCUUUGCAGGUUUUCAGACAUGCACAUGCAUUUAAUUUGCAAAGCCUUUUGACUGUACAAGUUUAACUGUGCUUCUUGAACUAGCCCAUCUCAUUUAAAUUAAUUUCCCUGAAAAACCUCCUCUUUUUCCAGUUCACCCUUCUGUUUCCCCAUCAAAGCCCAAAAGGUAGUGAUUUCCUUUCCUUCCCCUAUUCCCAGCUUAAAUGCCUUGUAUCUCCACCUCUCUCCCAAUCCACAGGGCAGGUGUUCUGCAUGGUUUUUAGGGCAGUGGGUGUAUACUUCAGCAAGGGCAAUGGGUUGGGGCAAGAGACACUCCAAAUUUGAAACUCCUCACUUGAGUCCCAACUGCUGACACCCUGGUAAAGCAAUGGAUUUAGGGCAGGAAACAUCUAAACAGCUACAUGUUUCACUGUGUAGUUCUGAGGUUGUUCUGAAAGGCACUGCCUUUCCUGCAUAUUUCCUAGGUUGGGAGACACCAAACUUUUGGCUUGGAAAUUCCUCUGAUGAUCCUCCUGUGCAUAGGAUCACAAAGAUAUGUUAUGCUGUGCUAUUUAAGCAUGUAAGUCUAUGGACAGUAAUUGUGAAGUAAAACUGUGAUUCAGAGGAAAGAUUGUCAAAUCAUUAAAUCAUUUGUAAUUUAUAUUACCUACCCUACAUUUUGAGUUUAUCUGUAUUGUUUAUAUGGAAAUAAACAGAAA